UUGAGAACAACGUACAAACCUUAUCGAUAAACAAUUGGAGGGCAAGUCUGGUGCCAGCAGCCGCGGUAAUUCCAGCUCCAAUAGCGUAUAUUAACGUUGUUGCAGUUAAAAAGCUCGUAGUUGAAAUGAAGGGUAGUUGUGUAAUGAAUACAUUCGUGUAUUUUGUUAUUCUACUACCCUCCUUCUAAAUUCGAUAUAUGAGUAUUAAUUUACUUGUAUAUGGUUUUAGACCUUUACUGUGAGAAAAUUAGAGUGUUCAAAGCAGGCAUUUGCUUGAAUAUAUUAGCAUGGAAUAAUCAUGUAUGAUUUUCAUGAUGUAUUUGAUUGGUUUGGUUCAUGAGAAUAAGAUUAAAAGGGACAGUUGGGGGUAUUCAUAUUCAAUAGUCAGAGGUGAAAUUCUCGGAUUUAUGGAAGAUGAACAAGUGCGAAAGCAA
rnacentral:rRNA from 1 species